rnacentral:rRNA from 1 species
GUGAACGUUACCAAUCUGUUGCCUCGGCGGGAUUCUCUUGCCCCGGGCGCGUCGCAGCCCCGGAUCCCAUGGCGCCCGCCGGAGGACCAACUCCAAACUCUUUUUUUCUCUCCGUCGCGGCUCCCGUCGCGGCUCUGUUUUAUUUUUGCUCUGAGCCUUUCUCGGCGACCCUAGCGGGCGUCUCGAAAAUGAAUCAAAACUUUCAACAACGGAUCUCUUGGUUCUGGCAUCGAUGAAGAACGCAGCGAAAUGCGAUAAGUAAUGUGAAUUGCAGAAUUCAGUGAAUCAUCGAAUCUUUGAACGCACAUUGCGCCCGCCAGUAUUCUGGCGGGCAUGCCUGUCCGAGCGUCAUUUCAACCCUCGAACCCCUCCGGGGGGUCGGCGUUGGGGAUCGGCCCCUCACCGGGCCGCCCCCGAAAUACAGUGGCGGUCUCGCCGCAGCCUCUCCUGCGCAGUAGUUUGCACACUCGCACCGGGAGCGCGGCGCGGCCACAGCCGUAAAACACCCCAAACUUCUGAAAUGUUGACCUCGGAUC